rnacentral:tRNA from 1 species
GCAGGUCAGAAGGUCUUGCGCACCUCACUGGCAGUGAGGGGGUCAGGGGUUCGAGUCCCCUUAGCUCCA